UACGUAGGGGGCAAGCGUUGUCCGGAUUUAUUGGGCGUAAAGAGCGUGUAGGCGGCCAGGUAGGUCAGCUGUGAAAACUCGAGGCUUAACCUCGAGACGCCGGCUGAAACCCUCUGGCUAGAGUCCGGAAGAGGAGAGCGGAAUUCCUGGUGUAGCGGUGAAAUGCGUAGAGAUCGGGAGGAACACCAGAGGCGAAGGCGGCGACCUGGACAGAUACUGACACUCAACGACGAAAGCGUGGGGAGCAAACAGG
rnacentral:rRNA from 1 species